AUAAUAUAUACCCAAACACACAAAAAUAAAAUCUACGUAUUAAACCCAGUCAAUAAACAGGAUUAUAGAUCAUCAGACGAUGAGCAUCCAUUGGCUUCUCUACAUUUAUUUUAGCUCAGUAGAUUUAACAGCUUCAUAACAGUUUUCACAAAGGGUGAAAAGAACGUAAGUUGACUGACAAAACGGCCACCUUUCUAGCAAGGCUUCUCAUCUUUCCUUAAUCACAUGACUACAAAAUUAAACCAAAACGAACCUACACUUUUAGGAUACCGAUCCUAUUUCCUCUUCAUUAUUCUUUAUCCUCCAAUUUCUUGAUUUUGAUGGGGUCUUGCUUUCUCAGAGAAAUCUAGUUAUGCCCAAUGCACUUUAGUCAGUAAUCGAUAAUCACCAAGUUGGUUCUGAUAAAAGAGUCCUUGCUCCCUCCAAGAAAACUAUUAAGCUAUCGUUUCCUUGAAGGUUGAGAAUAUCUAUGUGUCAUGCCCUUUAAACAAAAUCCAUCCAUAGAAAGGGGAUAUUUUGUUUGAAAGACAUGUAAAAUAACGUUGAUAUACAUACUUGCUUUCAACAAAUAUUGCACUUGAAAUCAGUGAAUGCAACUGACAUUUAAAAUACUCUUUCUCUGGGGGGAGAAAAAUGACAAGCAUUUAAAAACCAUGUCAGGCAGCAAAAUUAAUAUAAUUUAACAUUCACAAUUAUUUCUUCCCCAAAACAAGAAGUAUGAAUCAUUCUUGCCAACAAUUUUGAAAGACUUUUAUUCUCUUCCUUUAUACAUCAGUCAAACUCUGCACUUAGGUGUUUUCUACCGAGAAAAUGAUUAAUAAACCCAAUUUUGAUAAAUGCUGA